AACGCGAAGAACCUUACCUGGGCUUGACAUGUUCCUGACAGCCGUGGAAACACGGUCUCCCUUCGGGGCAGGAUCACAGGUGGUGCAUGGCUGUCGUCAGCUCGUGUCGUGAGAUGUUGGGUUAAGUCCCGCAACGAGCGCAACCCCCGUCGCAUGUUGCCAGCAUUUAGUUGGGGACUCAUGCGAGACCGCCGGUGACAAACCGGAGGAAGGUGGGGAUGACGUCAAGUCAUCAUGCCCCUUAUGUCCAGGGCUACACACGUGCUACAUUGGCGCGUACAGAGGGUUGCGAUACCGCGAGGUGGAGCGAAUCCCUUAAAGCGCGUCUCGGUUCGGAUUGCAGGCUGAAACCCGCCUGCAUGAAGGCGGAGUUGCUAGUAAUCGCGGAUCAGCACUGCCGCGGUGAAUACGUUCCCGGGCCUUGUACACACCGUAGAGAC
rnacentral:rRNA from 1 species